rnacentral:lncRNA from 1 species
UUUUUUUUUUCUUCAUAGGAUUUUGGGAAGACUGAGGCAAUCAUUGCUAAAAGUUAGUGUUAUAUUGGUGAACUGGAUUUUUUUUUCGUAAGAGAGGAAAAGGCUCGUACUCUUGAUUGCUGUUGGAAUGGGAGAUACUUCUGUGGUUGAAAUUCAGAGUUAUCUAGAAGGUUGAGUAUGCUGAAUGCAUGCGUGGUUGUGUUAAUCUGACUGUACGGAUAGAGGAUAUCUGCCAACAGUUUAAAGAGGUUUUGGGAAUUGGCAAAUUGGGGUUUGUUUAGGGUUUUUGUGAUAACUGGGACCUACCGACAGGGAUAAGAGGAAUAUCGGUGAGUGGCCAAAGAACAUUGGUGCGGAUUGCAGUAUAGCCUCACAAUCUGUAAGCGGGGUUAAACUGGAA